GACGAACGCUGGCGGCGUGCUUAACACAUGCAAGUCGAACGGAAAGGCCCUGCUUUUGUGGGGUGCUCGAGUGGCGAACGGGUGAGUAACACGUGAGUAACCUGCCCUUGACUUUGGGAUAACUUCAGGAAACUGGGGCUAAUACCGGAUAGGAGCUCCUGCUGCAUGGUGGGGGUUGGAAAGUUUCGGCGGUUGGGGAUGGACUCGCGGCUUAUCAGCUUGUGGGUGGGGUAGUGGCUUACCAAGGCUUUGACGGGUAGCCGGCCUGUGAGGGUGACGGGCCACAUUGGGACUGGGAUACGGCCCAGACUCCUACGGGAGGCAGCAGUGGGGAAUAGUGCACAAUGGGCGGAAGCCUAAUGCAGCAACGCCGCGUGCGGGAUAACGGCCUGCGGGUUGUAAACCGCUUUCGCCUGUGACGAAGCGUGAGUGACGGUAAUGGGUAAAGAAGCACCGGCUAACUACGUG
rnacentral:rRNA from 1 species